GUUUUUAUAUUUUAAAAAAAAUUUGGGUCUUGUAAAUCCAAGAUAGAAUCAGAUCUUAAAAACA
rnacentral:tRNA from 1 species